rnacentral:rRNA from 1 species
UACAGAGGUCUCAAGCGUUGUUCGGAUUCAUUGGGCGUAAAGGGUGCGUAGGCGGCGCGGUAAGUCGGGUGUGAAAUCUCGGGGCUUAACUCCGAAACUGCAUUCGAUACUGCCGUGCUUGAGGACUGGAGAGGAGACUGGAAUUUACGGUGUAGCGGUGAAAUGCGUAGAUAUCGUAAGGAAGACCAGUGGCGAAGGCGCUCUGCUAGGCCGCAACUGACACUGAGGAACGAAAGCUAGGGGAGCGAAUGGG